rnacentral:rRNA from 1 species
UACGUAGGGUGCAAGCGUUAAUCGGAAUUACUGGGCGUAAAGCGUGCGCAGGCGGUUCUAUAAGACAGAUGUGAAAUCCCCGGGCUCAACCUGGGAACUGCAUUUGUGACUGUAGAGCUGGAGUACGGUAGGGGGGGAUGGAAUUCCGCGUGUAGCAGUGAAAUGCGUAGAUAUGCGGAGGAACACCGAUGGCGAAGGCAAUCCCCUGGACCUGUACUGACGCUCAUGCACGAAAGCGUGGGGAGCAAACAGG